rnacentral:tRNA from 1 species
GCCCCCAUCGUCCAGCGGUUAGGACACCACUCUUUCAAGGUGGAGACAGGGGUUCAAUUCCCCUUGGGGGCA